GCCCACACUAGAUAGCCUGUGAGAUUCCCGCACAUGCCCAGUGAAACACCUGGACAUGCGAACGGGAAUUUCAUCUAUUCAUUCAUUCAUCAGACAGACGAAUGAAUGAAUAGAAAUAUCAGCCGAACAAACACUGUGUAUCAGUGUUCGCUUGUUCAUGCAGGUUAUUACAAGGAGGGAGCUACCGGCAUGCAGCUCCCUUCUUGUAAUAUGUAAAGAUAGAAGUGGCAGGGAGCAGUGCUCCCC